GGAAGCAGGGUAUAGCUCAGUGGUAGAGCGCGUGCUUAGCAUGCACGAGGUCCUGGGUUCAAUCCCCAGUACCUCCG
rnacentral:tRNA from 1 species